UUAAUCGGGGCAGGGUGAGUCGACCCCUAAGGCGAGGCCGAAAGGCGUAGUCGAUGGGAAACAGGUUAAUAUUCCUGUACUUGGUGUUACUGCGAAGGGGGGACGGAGAAGGCUAUGUUGGCCGGGCGACGGUUGUCCCGGUUUAAGCGUGUAGGCUGGUUUUCCAGGCAAAUCCGGAAAAUCAAGGCUGAGACGUGAUGACGAGGCACUACGGUGCUGAAGCAACAAAUGCCCUGCUUCCAGGAAAAGCCUCUAAGCAUCAGGUAACAUCAAAUCGUACCCCAAACCGACACAGGUGGUCAGGUAGAGAAUACCAAGGCGCUUGAGAGAACUCGGGUGAAGGAACUAGGCAAAAUGGUGCCGUAACUUCGGGAGAAGGCACGCUGAUAUGUAGGUGAAGCGACUUGCUCGUGGAGCUGAAAUCAGUCGAAGAUACCAGCUGGCUGCAACUGUUUAUUAAAAACACAGCACUGUGCAAACACGAAAGUGGACGUAUACGGUGUGACGCCUGCCCGGUGCCGGAAGGUUAAUUGAUGGGGUCAGCGCAAGCGAAGCUCUUGAUCGAAGCCCCGGUAAACGGCGGCCGUAACUAUAACGGUCCUAAGGUAGCGAAAUUCCUUGUCGGGUAAGUUCCGACCUGCACGAAUGGCGUAAUGAUGGCCAGGCUGUCUCCACCCGAGACUCAGUGAAAUUGAACUCGCUGUGAAGAUGCAGUGUACCCGCGGCAAGACGGAAAGACCCCGUGAACCUUUACUAUAGCUUGACACUGAACAUUGAGCCUUGAUGUGUAGGAUAGGUGGGAGGCUUAGAAGUGUGGACGCCAGUCUGCAUGGAGCCGACCUUGAAAUACCACCCUUUAAUGUUUGAUGUUCUAACGUUGACCCGUAAUCCGGGUUGCGGACAGUGUCUGGUGGGUAGUUUGACUGGGGCGGUCUCCUCCUAAAGAGUAACGGAGGAGCACGAAGGUUGGCUAAUCCUGGUCGGACAUCAGGAGGUUAGUGCAAUGGCAUAAGCCAGCUUGACUGCGAGCGUGACGGCGCGAGCAGGUGCGAAAGCAGGUCAUAGUGAUCCGGUGGUUCUGAAUGGAAGGGCCAUCGCUCAACGGAUAAAAGGUACUCCGGGGAUAACAGGCUGAUACCGCCCAAGAGUUCAUAUCGACGGCGGUGUUUGGCACCUCGAUGUCGGCUCAUCACAUCCUGGGGCUGAAGUAGGUCCCAAGGGUAUGGCUGUUCGCCAUUUAAAGUGGUACGCGAGCUGGGUUUAGAACGUCGUGAGACAGUUCGGUCCCUAUCUGCCGUGGGCGCUGGAGAACUGAGGGGGGCUGCUCCUAGUACGAGAGGACCGGAGUGGACGCAUCACUGGUGUUCGGGUUGUCAUGCCAAUGGCACUGCCCGGUAGCUAAAUGCGGAAGAGAUAAGUGCUGAAAGCAUCUAAGCACGAAACUUGCCCCGAGAUGAGUUCUCCCUGACCCUUUAAGGGUCCUGAAGGAACGUUGAAGACGACGACGUUGAUAGGCCGGGUGUGUAAGCGCAGCGAUGCGUUGAGCUAACCGGUACUAAUGAACCGUGAGGCUUAACCUU
rnacentral:rRNA from 1 species